GCACUGGUGGUGCACGGCGCACGCCCCAUCCCAAAUUGUUGGCCUUCGAAUUCAACUGGCUGUGAGGAGCCCGGGGUUCGACUCCCCGCCAGUGCA